UACAGAGGUCCCAAGCGUUGUUCGGAAUCACUGGGCGUAAAGGGUGCGUAGGCGGCGGCGCAAGUCAGAUGUGAAAUGCCAGGGCUCAACCUUGGAACUGCAUCCGAUACUGCGUUGCUCGAGUACUGGAGGGGAGUCUGGAAUUCACGGUGGAGCAGUGAAAUGCGUGGAGAUCGUGAGGAACACUAGUGGCGUAGGCGAGACUCUGGACAGUUACUGACGCUGAGGCACGAAGGCCAGGGGAGCAAACGGG
rnacentral:rRNA from 1 species